rnacentral:lncRNA from 1 species
CUAACCAAAUUUAGAAGAAAAAUGAUAAGCUCAGAAGUAAUUAGCAAAACACUAAAAGUUUGUCACUGCCAGUAACUUCAUCAACACUAGUUAGUGGCACUCCAUGCUGACAGAAGCUAAAAAGAUUAAAGUUCGAAUUUACCAUAGAUUUUCAUGUUUUAACCAAUAUCAAGCAUCAGGGACCCCAUUCACUCUUUUCUUAUGUCUCUGGUCAGUGCCAAAACCAAAAUGCACGAACCUGAAGCUAACCCUAGAAUUGUUUCCACAUGGAAAAUCAACUUCUACCCCACAAUCGCAUUCUCAAAAUUAUCAUUAUAUAUCCUUCCCAACCCAGCAAUACAAGUCUGUCAUGAAGAGUGACGACAUCGGAAGUAAGAUAACCCCAAGCUCCAUUUCCAUUUCGAUAGACUGUUUUAGGUGUGUAUCCAUCCACUAAAGCUAGUACCAUCGGAGCAUAAGACUAAAUAUUUCUAUACAAAUACAUAAUCAGACAUCUACAAAAUCGAUGACCAAAUAGCACAGUCCAGCAGAAGGAAUGCAAAUUUAGCAAGAGAAAGGAGGAGAUAUGAAUCAGUCUUACAGUGCUA